GGUCUCUUUCCUGUCCUGCCAUGGUAAAGAAGUGCUUAUUUCCCCUUCGCUUUCCACCACGAAUAUUUUUCCUGAGGCCUCCCAGUCAUGCUUCCUGUUUUGCCUGCAGAACUGUGAGUUAAUUACAUCUCUUUUCUUCAUAAAUUACCCAGUCUCGGGUAUUUCUUUACAGCAGUCUGAAAACGGAGUAAUAACAUUGAUUCUUAGAGUUAUAAAUAAUAAUUACAAACAUAUUCAAGAGCUACAGAAAUGAUUAAAGUGAAGUUCACACAGAUUAUUUCCAUUGCCUAACAUUUUGACACACAUGUAUCAUAUAUACACAUACACAUAUAUAAUAUACAUAUUGAUAUCUCACACUUAUCUUACACAUAAACACAACUUUUAUGUGUACACUCUAAAUAUCUAUGUAUAAUAUAUCUGAGGCAGAAAAAUAGGGAAUUAGGAUAGACAAGGGUUGAGGCAUAAGUAAGCAAAGAAUAGCAGGUGCAGCCCGUUCUAGGCAAAGGAAUAGCAGGUGCAGCCAGUUCUAGGCAAAGGAAUAGCAGGUGCAGCCAGUUCUAAGCAAAGGAAUAGCAGGUGCAGCCAGUUCUAGGCAAGAUUAGGCAGCAUACAGGCCACGUCUUCACUCCUGUGAUUACAAGACAGAAGUUUCCAUUUCAGCCUCUGUUGGGUUGCAGGCCCAUCUUUCAUAGGGUAUAACCAACUGGAGGCCACUAAAGGGCACCUAGGGGUGUUGCCAAGUUAUUUUGGCUUUAUAAAAACCCUAAUUGGAGAGGCUCUUGAUCUGCUUGCUACAGCCGGCUCCCACUCUGUGAAUUGUUGUCAAUAAAUCUGUGCUUUCCUUGCUGCAUUCUCCGGUUGCUUUGUCUUUCCUUGCUCUGUUCUUUUGUCACUUUGUUUCUGCAUUUUGUUCAAUUCUUUGUUCAACAGGGCAAGAACCUGGACAACUCUAUCCAGUAACAUAUUUAUGUAUACAUAAUACAUCAUAAAUAGUGCCAUAAUGUGCAUCCUGUUUUUGAACUGCAAUUCACUUAACAGUAACUCAGGAAGAGGGAGGUGGAGGACACAGCAAGUAAGACUGAAAAAGUAUGGCCAGGAAGCUAAAUAAGAAUCUAGAGAAUGAGGUCAUGUAAGACAAGAAUUGAAAGACUUUUCGGAAUGGAUAAUUUAUUGUCAAAUGCUGCACAAUUAAGAACCGAAACAAGAACUAAGAACUAUUGACUGGAUUUGGCAAUUAGACUGGAUGUGACCUCUGCCAGAACAGCUUCAGUAGCAUGGCAGGGUGGGAACCUGAUUGCUGUGUUGAGACGCAAAGAGGGGGCGUUAGUAAUCAUGAACUGUUUCUAUGAGAAAGUCCCUUUGAAAAGACAGGGGAAAAACAUUCUCUUUUCUCCACAGCCUCAUCAACGUUUGUUAUCUUUUGUCUUUUUAAUAAUAGUCAUCCUAAAGGUGUAAGGUGAUAUUUUAUGGUGGUUUGAUUUGCAUUUCCCUGAUGAUUAGAGAUGUUGAGUACUUUUUCAUAUGCCUGUUCACCAUCUGAAUUUCUUCUUUUGAUACGUGUUUAUUUAAGUACUUUGCCGAAUUUUUAAUUCAGUUAUUUAUACUUUUGGUACUGAGUUGUAUAAGUUCUUUAUAUAUUUUGGGUAUUAACUUCUUAUUAGGUGAAUGGUUUGCAAAUGCUUUUUCCAAUUCCAUCAGUUGCCUUUUGAUUUAGGUGAUUGCUUCCUUUGCUGUGCAGAACUUUUUAAUUUCAUGUAAUACUGGAUAUCUAUUUUUGCUUUUGUUGCCAUAUCCAAAAACAUAUUGCCAAGACCACUGUCAAAAAGCUUUUUCCCUAUGUUUUCUUCUAGGAGUUUUACAGUUGCAUGUUGUUUAAGUCUCUAAUUCAUUAUAGAUUGGUUUUUGUACGUGCGUGAUAGGGGUUCAAUUUAAUUUUUUUUUUUUGCAUGUGGAUAACCAGUUUUCCAAACACCAAUUUUUUCUUUCUUAAUAAACUAUACCCAUUAUGUGUUCUUGGCACCCUAGUAGAAGAUACAUUGACCAUAAAUGUAUGGGCUUAUUUCUGGGCUCUCUAGUCUUUUCCACUGAUUUAGAUGUUUGUUUUUAUGACAAUACUGUACUGUUUUGAUUACUAUAGCUUUGUAAUAUGAUUUGAAGUCAAGCAGUGUGAUGCUUCUAGCUUUAUUCUUCUUAAAAUUGCUUUGGCUAUUCAGGGUCUUUUGUAGUUCCAUGCGAAUUUUAGAAUUGUUUUUUCUAUUUCUGUAUAAAUUGCCAUUGGGAUUUUGAUAAGGAUGGCAUUGAAUCUGUAGAUUGCUUUGGGUAGUGUGAACAUUUUAACAAUUUUAAUUUUUCCAAUCCAUGAACACGGAACGUCUUUCUAUUUGUGUCUUUUGAAAAAUUUCUUUUGGUAAUGUUUUACAGUUUUCAGGGUACAGGUCUUUUAUUUCUUAAUUUCUAAGUAUUUCCUUGUUGUUAUUGUUGCUAAUUUAAAUGAGCUUGUUUCUUGGUUUUCCUUUUGGAAAGUUUGUUUUUAGUGUAUAGAAACACCACUGAUUUUUGUAUGUUAACUUUGUAUCCUGUAAUUUUAUUGACUUUUUAAGUUAGUUAUAAUAGUGUUUUGUGUAGAGUCUAGGGAUUUCCAGGUAUAUGAUCAUAUCAUCUGCAGAAAAAGAUGAUUUUUCUUUUUCCCUUUCGAUUUGGAUACUUAUUUUUUCUUCUUCUUCUUGCCUGAUUGCUCUGGCUAGGACUUCCAGUACUAUGCUGAAUAGCUGUGGUGAGAGUUGGCAUUCUUGCCUUCUUACAGAUCUUAGAGAAAAAGCUUUCAGAUUUUCCCCGUUGAUUAUUAUGUUAGCUGUGCCUCUUUCAUAUAUGUCAUUUAUUGUGCUGAGGAAAGUUUCUUUCAUAUCUGUUUUGUUGAUAGUUUUUAUCUUAAUGUUGAAUUUGGUCCAAUAUUUUUUCUUGCAUCUACUGAGAUUAUGUAGUUU
rnacentral:lncRNA from 1 species